CGGGGUGUAGCGCAGUCUGGUAGCGCAUCUGCUUUGGGUGCAGAGGGUCGUGAGUUCGAAUCCCACCGCCCCGACCA
rnacentral:tRNA from 2 species